rnacentral:rRNA from 1 species
AUGAACGCUAGCGACAGGCCUAACACAUGCAAGUCGAGGGGCAGCACAAGGAGCAAUCUGAGGUGGCGACCGGCGCACGGGUGAGUAACACGUAUGCAACCUGCCUGUAAGCGGGGAAUAACCCGUUGAAAGACGGACUAAUACCGCAUAAUACUAAAUUACUGCAUGGUAAUUUAUUUAAACAUUUAUGGCUUACAGGUGGGCAUGCGCAUGAUUAGCUAGUUGGAGAGGUAACGGCUCCCCAAGGCAACGAUCAUUAGGGGUUCUGAGAGGAAGGUCCCCCACACUGGUACUGAGACACGGACCAGACUCCUACGGGAGGCAGCAGUGAGGAAUAUUGGUCAAUGGACGAGAGUCUGAACCAGCCAAGUCGCGUGCAGGAAGAAUGUCCCUAUGGAUUGUAAACUGCUUUUGCAGGGGAAUAAAGUGCAUCACGUGUGAUGUUUUGUAUGUACUCUGCGAAUAAGGAUCGGCUAACUCCGUGCCAGCAGCCGC